rnacentral:snRNA from 1 species
AGCUUUGCACAGUGGCAGUAUCCUAGCUAAUGAGGUUUAUCUGAGACAUGAUUAUUGCGAAUUGAAAAUGA